rnacentral:rRNA from 1 species
AGAACGAACGUUAGCGGCGCGCCUAACACAUGCAAGUCGCACGAGAAAGGGCUUCGGCCCCGGUACAGUGGCGCACGGGUGAGUAACACGUAGAUCAUCUCCCCUCGAGUGGUGGAUAACUCUCCGAAAGGAGAGCUAAUACAGCAUGAGACCACGGCUUCGUUGAAGCUGCGGCCAAAGCAGGCCUCUACACGUAAGCUUGCGCUUGAGGAUGAGUCUGCGGCCCAUCAGCUAGUUGGUAGGGUAAUGGCCUACCAAGGCUAAGACGGGUAGCUGGUCUGAGAGGAUGGAACAGCCACACUGGAACUGAGACACGGUCCAGACUCUACGGGAGCAGCAGUGGGGAAU